CUCCAAUAUUAUAUCAGAAUAUAAAUUCCGAUUAUACCAUACUAACGUAGAUUAUCAGUAGAAUUUUGAUUGUAAUAUACCAAUGUAUUAAAAGAAAAAAAAUAGAGGACAAGAAGCAAAUGAAUACUACUAGACAAAAUUUCUAAAUUACCCUCCACAUUUUCUUUCUCAACGCACCGAAAUAAUUUCUGCGUCUACAAUUAAACGAAACCUAAGUAAGAAGAAAGAUUUAAUAUUUCCCAAAGUAUAAUAUAAAAGAACCUGUGUUGAAUGAAGGCGUUCGCACGUGCAUAUGUCCAAAUAAAACACAAAACACAUGAACUUCCAACACGACGCAAAAGGCCUGGAGGCCCAGAGCAGCUGCAACUCAAAUUCUGAUAAAUACUGGUUUCACGGGCCCAUAAAGCUACACUAGCGGCCGCCUGAGAACUAGGGCCAUUGUAAUUUGUGCCAAAAAAAGGAGUUCAUGAAAAGUAGUCUAUAUAUUCUAAAUUUUUAAUUACAAAAAAUUAUCUUAAAUAAUAUAAUAUGUUAUUCAUCAACUAAUUGAUAAGAUAAUAUAAUUAAUUCACUUAAAUUUAAUAAAAAAAUUGUCAAUCACUUCAUAAAUGACACAUUAUUUAAAAUAAAUUUUUGAGAUAAAAAAUUUAGAACAUCUAUAAUUACUAUUAGUUCAUAAAUUAGCAAAAAUGCAUUUCCCGGCCCAUGCUGCGAUUCUCUCAACACUUUGUAUAAUAACAAAACCGAAAAAGAAAGACCCAAUACAAAGAAGAAAGGCCCAUGCUGCGAUUCUCUCAACACUUUGUAUAAUAACAAAACCGAAAAAGAAAGACCCAAUACAAAGAAGAAAGGUCACCGCAGAAAGAUUAAAGAAUGCCUUCUAUGCACAUUAUUACAGCAGCAACUCUAUGCAAACGACUCAUUUCAGGACUCGAUGAUGCACAAUGCAACUGCAAUCUUCCUCAAAUAUAUACGAUC
rnacentral:lncRNA from 1 species